UUUGGGCCUUUUAGAAAACUUUUUCUAUACAAGGGCACACAACAACACACUAUGAAAGAUCAUAAAGUGCAUGAAAAGUUUGUUUGGAGUGAUACCAAUCAAGAGAGCUUCAUCAUUCUCAGACGCAUGAGCCAACGCUUUCUUCUACAACUCCUUGCUCAUAUAUAUAUACACACACACACACACUCCUUCUAGGGUUACUUGAUGCAAUUUGAAACCCCCAGAUCAGCAAUCGCAUUAAUAAGUGAAGUGUUCCAAAUUGCGCUUUGAUAAUAAAGCACUACAUGAAACAAAAAAAAAAAACAUAAAAAAUUUCCCCUCAAUCGCCUCUAUAUUUUAUAGCGGAAUCAGAAGUUACAAAUUAGAACGUCUGAUUUCUCGACUUCAGAAUCGUACUUCAGCUUUCCGUCGCAGAAGAAAAUGAUAAACAUUUCUGUUUACGAGAGGCUAUGCAAGCCGGCUCAUUACUUGUAAAUGCGCAUCCGGGGCCUAUGAAGGGGUAUCCAAUUGGUCAAGAAACUCAAACAAUUCAUUGAUUUCGUCACGGGUUCGAUGUUCCCGGUUGGUGAGUUCUAACCGUCCAGUUAUCUUAUUUCAUUUUCUAUCGAACUGGCCGAUCCGACUCGAAUUUUAAAACAUUGCUAAUCAUCUUAAGAAAGAAGAACUCAAGAAAAAAAGA
rnacentral:lncRNA from 1 species